AGUGAACGCUGGCGGUAGGCCUAACACAUGCAAGUCGAACGGCAGCACAGUAAGAGCUUGCUCUUACGGGUGGCGAGUGGCGGACGGGUGAGGAAUACAUCGGAAUCUACUUUUUCGUGGGGGAUAACGUAGGGAAAAUUACUCUAAUACCGCAUACGACCUACGGGUGAAAGCAGUGGAUCUUCGGACCUUGCGCGAUUGAAUGAGCCGAUGUCGGAUUAGCUAGUUGGCGGGGUAAAGGCCCACCAAGGCGACGAUCCGUAGCUGGUCUGAGAGGAUGAUCAGCCACACUGGAACUGAGACACGGUCCAGACUCCUACGGGAGGCAGCAGUGGGGAAUAUUGGACAAUGGGCGCAAGCCUGAUCCAGCCAUACCGCGUGGGUGAAGAAGGCCUUCGGGUUGUAAAGCCCUUUUGUUGGGAAAGAAAAGCAGCAGGUUAAUACCCCGCUGUUCUGACGGUACCCAAAGAAUAAGCACCGGCUAACUUCGUG
rnacentral:rRNA from 1 species